CUGCGGAUUACCUAUCAGUGAGCGGCAAAUUCAAACAUAGGAAAGAGAUAAUGGGUUCUAGUGGCGGGCUGCGGACUCUUGAUAGGACCUGCAACUUAUUCCCCGGGGCUGCCAACUUGUAUUGUUGCUGUGAUAGAUUGCCGUUAUUAUUUUCCUAAGUGCCUGGACUGGGUGACGAUGUUUGAUGAACCUUACUUGAUGUUCGGUCGUGCUGCUCCUGGCGCUGCUGCUCCAGCAAUUGGGGGGACCACCACAGGAUGGCAGCCCCCCCACCCCCUGAAGCUCCUCAACAUCGGAGAGAAAGGGGGCAUGGAAGGGAGUCCUGUCCAAGGGGACAAACAUCCCUAGCUCCAGUCUGUGUCACUUUCCAAUCGACACUGGCCUCUUUGCCUAUUUUCUCCUGGUAACAAACUUUGCCCUAUUGACUCUUCAGUAUCACUUUGUCCGUUAUCCAGCAAUGGGACUGACUCCCAAACAGCACAUCCCAUUGUUUACAUUCUGCUCCAUUCUUGUCACUGAGGGUGCCAUUUUAAAAUCUAUUUGCGCCCUUUCCAAUAACAUCUGGAAAAGUGCAUUUGCUCUAACAUGUUUCUAUGGUGAUGCUGCAGUGUUGCCCAACACAUUCGCUUGGCCAAAAAAUGUUACAUGUAAGGGUCAAUGAAUUCCAAUCAUUGGAAGCAUAUGACUACACUUUUUAUUGUGUAUUUAUCACUAGUGCAGUGUUGCUUCAAAUGUUACAUAUGCUAAUCAAGCACUGUAUGUAUGUGUUUUACAUGCUAUGUGCAUUCUUGUAACAAUGGCCUAUGUUCAUGCAACUGUCAACACAUUCAAGUGAAAAAAGUGUACUUUGUACUUUGCACUAUGAAGUAUUGUUGGCCUACAUUGGCUACCCAGCACUCAUAAUAUGUGCUAAUGCCUACUACUACCUCUUUCUCCUCCUCUAACACCUCCUCCACCUGCGGUACUUAAAUAGCAAGUCAGAGGUAUCUGGUAUGCAUUAAAGGCACAAGCAUUGGUUCUUACAUUGCACUAUGAAGUAUUGUUGGCUACCUAUUGCCUAAAUUGGCUACCCAGCACUCAUAAUAUGUGCUAAUGCCUACUACUACCUCCUUCUCUUCCUCCACCACCUCCUCCAACUGUGGUACUUAAAUAGCAAGUCAGAGGUAUCUGAUAUGCCUUAAAGGAACAACCGUCUGUUCUUACUUUGCAUUAUGAAGUAUUGUUGGCUAUCUAUGGCCUACAUUGGCUACCCAGCACUCAUAAUAUGUGCUAAUGCCUACUACUACCUCCUCCACCACCUCCUCCACCUGUGGUACUUACAUAGCAAGUCAGAGGUAUCUGGUAUGCCUUAAAGGCACAAGUGUUGCUUUUUACUUUGCACUUGCAACUAUUCCAACACAUUACCUGGCCAGCACUAACCUCAUAUGUGUUACUUUCUGUCAUACAUUGGCAAGUGUCAUUUGUAUAUCAUAUUGAUUGUUAUAUUUUUGUUUUGUACACAGGGCUUCUCAAUGCCAAACUUUUUUUGUCUCCUUUAAUUUAUGUUAACUUGAACAGCAUGGACACAGGGCAUUAUGAAUCUCAUGCAAGAAAUGCUUGCCCGUAAUCCACUAAACCCUUUGUAAAGCUCUGCCCUUUAGUGCUCAAUGGGAGCUGCUAUAUAUAUUAAAAUUAAUGUUGAGACUGCAUUCCUCCUGUGUGUUACAGCUAGGGUACAUGCUUAAUUGGUUGUAAAAAUGUUCAUGUGGUUCAAGAAAAAACAAAAUUUUGUCACAAAUCCAUAUUGUCUUUUUAUUCUUAUACAAAUGUUUGAGAUUUAUAACAAUGUUUUGUCAGUAAACCCACAAAACCAAAAACUGUCCGUUUCUUUUUUAAC